UACGUAGGGUGCGAGCGUUAAUCGGAAUUACUGGGCGUAAAGGGUGCGCAGGCGGUUAUAUAAGACAGAUGUGAAAUCCCCGGGCUCAACCUGGGAACUGCGUUUGUGACUGUAUGACUAGAGUACGGUAGAGAGGGGUGGAAUUCCUGGUGUAGCAGUGAAAUGCGUAGAUAUCAGGAGGAACAUCGAUGGCGAAGGCAGCCCCUUGGACCUGUACUGACGCUCAUGCACGAAAGCGUGGGGAGCAAACAGGAUUAGAUACCCUGGUAGUCCACGCCCUAAACGAUGAUCACUAGUUGUUCGGAAAGGUGACUUUCUGAGUAACGUAGCUAACGCGUGAAGUGAUCCGCCUGGGGAGUACGGUCGCAAGAUUAAA
rnacentral:rRNA from 1 species